rnacentral:lncRNA from 1 species
GUCCAAAAGACGUAUUUAUGACAUUUUUGGGAGCGUCCCAGAUGGGCACAUUUUCAAUCGGACACACCACUCACAUUAGCCGAUGCCUAGGAAUUUUCUAGUGUGCCACCUAUCAAAAAUUUUUUUAUUUAAUCGACCAAUCGGCAAUGUGUCCGAUUGGACCUCACCCGAAAUGAUAUACCAUCAAGACGUCAUAUGAAUGUUCUCUGAUAUAUUAAGCAAUAGUACGUAUGACCACAGUACUUUCAGUACGAGUGUAGAAUAUUCAAAUGAUCUCAUGUCCCAUAUAGCAUAAAUGACCGUUUGCCGACUAAUUGUCAACUUUUUUUAGUCGAUUUUGUUCGAAAUUGCUAUAAAUAAAUCGCGCCUGAAAGCGAGACGCGGAACACACGAAGCGCACGUGACGAUCUGCGGCGAUCGAUUACCCUAAAUCAUCCGAUCGAUAGCGCCAGGUAGCCCGUCGAUACCUCGAUCACGCGGAAAUAAUUAUGCUUAUCAGCCUUAUCACUCUUCAAGGGCGGCGUUGUUUCGCAAUCGAAACGUAUGUGUGUGCUAUCGAUUGCCGAAAAUCACAUGAUUCGUCGUGGCAAUCGCUGAUAGGACGAAAUCGAUCGGAUCCCACAAGAUUCUCGAAAAGUUCUCGUUACCAAAAUUCUCUGCGAGUCGUCCAUAAUCCUUGCUACUAGAAAGUAUACUGUGCUCGUAUCGUAAACUCAGUGCUCUUGUCGUUUUCUAUCGCUGUUGUACUCGUAAGUUCAGCUCGUAAAUUAGACUUGUCAUCUCACUCGUCUCGUAAUAAUGUUACGUAAAUCGUCGUUGCGAGAGAUUUUUCGGUGAAGCAUUUUGAAUCGUGGCGAAUAUCUAGUUCACAUUCUCUCUCGUCACAUCGAGAUUCUAGUGCCUCGAACUCGACAAGAAUAUUUAUUGCGAAUAUUUACUGCGAUUCUCAAAGAGUGAAUUCUCAAUGACAAAUGCGCGUAUCUUAGCUUAACGAAGCAGCACGUCAUUCGUUAAGGUCAAUCAAGAGCUUGCGAUCAUUCUCUUAUCACGCUGCGGCAUUCUCCAAUCAUGUGACCACAUGCAAUUCGUACGAACUAUUCAACCCUGUGCGUGCAAUCUGCCUAGCGAACAUCUAUUCUAUUUUAUCAACGUGUACGCCACCGUCAGACUUUAUAUUCUGUACAUUUCACUGGCAAAAACUGACUUAUUAAAUUAGCGUGAUUUAUCUCAAGAAUUCUUGUCAUUCUAUUACCUAUCGGAUCCUCAGUUGAGGGUCAUUCCAACGAACGGCGUUUCAAUUCCGCACAGACUUGAAGUCGACUUUACUUGUCUUACAAUUAUUACGUUUACACGGCGACGUUAAAUCGGUUUAACAAAUUCGAAGGAACGAUUGCAAUUUUUAGUUCUCUGAUGCUUACGCUGUCUUUUCUAUUCAGAGAACAGAUUUGAAGGAGCGAUUGCGAUUUUCUGCUCUCUGGUGCUGUCUUCUCUAUCUAUUUGUAAGUUUCAUAAUGUAAAAGUUUAUGUUAAUGUUGAAAUUUGAAACGUAUUAUAUUUUAUAAUAAAACUUUGU